rnacentral:rRNA from 1 species
GUGUUUGGCGGCGGCUACCAUGCAGUCGAGCGGUAACAGAUCCAGCUUGCUGGAUGCUGACGAGCGGCGGACGGGUGAGUAAUGCAUAGGAAUCUGCCCGAUAGUGGGGGAUAACCUGGGGAAACCCAGGCUAAUACCGCAUACGUCCUACGGGAGAAAGGGGGCUUCGGCUCCCGCUAUCGGAUGAGCCUAUGUCGGAUUAGCUAGUUGGUGAGGUAACGGCUCACCAAGGCCACGAUCCGUAGCUGGUCUGAGAGGAUGAUCAGCCACAUCGGGACUGAGACACGGCCCGAACUCCUACGGGAGGCAGCAGUGGGGAAUAUUGGACAAUGGGGGGAACCCUGAUCCAGCCAUGCCGCGUGUGUGAAGAAGGCCCUCGGGUUGUAAAGCACUUUCAGCGAGGAAGAACGCCUAGCGGUUAAUACCCGCUAGGAAAGACAUCACUCGCAGAAGAAGCACCGGCUAACUCCGUGCCAGCAGCCGCGGUAAUACGGAGGGUGCAAGCGUUAAUCGGAAUUACUGGGCGUAAAGCGCGCGUAGGUGGCUUGAUAAGCCGGUUGUGAAAGCCCCGGGCUCAACCUGGGAACGGCAUCCGGAACUGUCAAGCUAGAGUGCAGGAGAGGAAGGUAGAAUUCCCGGUGUAGCGGUGAAAUGCGUAGAGAUCGGGAGGAAUACCAGUGGCGAAGGCGGCCUUCUGGACUGACACUGACACUGAGGUGCGAAAGCGUGGGUAGCAAACAGGAUUAGAUACCUUGGUAGUCA